AUAGUUUUCCCGAACUUAUUUGGAUGUAAACACAGCAAAGCUGAGAGUACACAUCGUUACAGAUGAGGAAUCAAAUCAAACAAUGAGGAAAAAACACUAGAUCGGCAUUAUCAUCAUUAUUUUCUUUAAUUUAUGAUGAGAUGCCACACAAUCAUCAUAAUCGCAUUAGUCCUGACACAUGGUGUUCACACAAAUUGUGUCCAUGAUGUAGUUCAGGCAGCAGAUCCUGUAAAAGCCCAGGUUGUUUAUCGGGAAAGUAAACCAGCUGACGAUUUCAUUCUUAGCAAAUCAAAGAGGUCAACAAGUGUGAACUACUACCAGCCAAUCAGAUUGAAAUUCUUCAGACUUGAUUUUGAUUUUGAACUGACCCAACAGGAAGGGACGAGAAUCCAGAAAGCUCUCACAGAUGCGAUCACUUUCAUAGAGGAUACAUUUUCUGUGGUAAGAGUUGAUGGCCGUCUGCUACUCAAAAGGACAGGUUGUCAAAAGACAUGGCAUGAAGAACCGAAUGCUGGAAAGU